rnacentral:rRNA from 1 species
AUUGAACGCUGGCGGCAUGCCUUACACAUGCAAGUCGAACGGCAGCGCGGACUUCGGUCUGGCGGCGAGUGGCGAACGGGUGAGUAAUACAUCGGAACGUACCCUGUUGUGGGGGAUAACUAGUCGAAAGAUUAGCUAAUACCGCAUACGACCUGAGGGUGAAAGUGGGGGACCGCAAGGCCUCACGCAGCAGGAGCGGCCGAUGUCUGAUUAGCUAGUUGGUGGGGUAAAGGCCCACCAAGGCGACGAUCAGUAGCUGGUCUGAGAGGACGAUCAGCAACACUGGGACUGAGACACGGCCCAGACUCCUACGGGAGGCAGCAGUGGGGAAUUUUGGACAAUGGGGGCAACCCUGAUCCAGCAAUGCCGCGUGUGUGAAGAAGGCCUUCGGGUUGUAAAGCACUUUUGUCCGGAAAGAAAUCGCGCUGGUUAAUACCUGGCGUGGAUGACGGUACCGGAAGAAUAAGCACCGGCUAACUACGUGCCAGCAGCCGCCGUAACAC